GUGCUCCCUUCGGCAGCACAUAUACUAAAAUAGGGACGAUACGCAGAAGAUAAACAUGGCCCCUGUGUAAGGAUGACACGCAAAUUCGCGAAGUGUUUCAUAUUUUU
ensembl:snRNA U6 U6 spliceosomal RNA